rnacentral:lncRNA from 1 species
AAGAUAAUAUUUCAUUCAUUGCAUGCCAAAUUAUUGCAAGAAUAUGAAUUAUGUGACUCAAGACAAUACUGUUAAGGCAAGAUAAUGAGUAUAGGUCAGAGCCAAUUAAUAUAGUUUUAAAAUUAUGAUUGGAUCGCAUCAAAAUCAAGGAUGAAAAGUUUGGCUUUAAAAAUGAGACAUUUAAGAUGUGAGCCAGAAAAAUCCUAAAUAUAGAUUCCAAAGAUAGUUUUUAAAUUAAGUGUAAAUAGAAUUUUUUUUAAGUUAUUUCAAGGAGUAUCGAGAAUGAUAUUCAAUGAAAGCACGAAUGAAAAUCCAACCUCUUUUUUUUUUAAAGAUCUUUAAUAGCAUAUGAAAGUUUUUUCAUAAUUUUUUUUAUUAUAUUAAGUAUAUAGCAAUAUGAGAGCAAUCUAAUUAAUUUUCAGAGUAUAGUAUAAAAACAGAUAAAGAUCAAAACUUAUAUACUCGAAAAAUAUAAGAUCGUGUUAAAUCAUUAAUUCUUAAUAACUUAAAAAAAUAAUUAGGGCACAAAUAUCAAAACAUGAAUUUCAUGCAAUUUAUGAUACAUCUUAGAGCAUAUAUAAAGUCCAAAGCUUUGAAAGUUCUUUUAGAGCUCUUUUAAAGACUUUCUUUUACUCCUUUAAAGAUAUAGCAUCAAAAUCAAUUAAAAUAAAUUGGUUCAGGAUUGAAAUACCAAAGUGCAACCCAAUAAGAACUCAUAAGUAGAUCCAAGAUAAAUUUUUGAUACUAAGACAAAUGGAGUCAUUUUCAAUUAAUUUUCAGAAACAAAUGAUUUACCGUUGAAUAUAGAUGGAAAUACAACUUUCAAAAGAUAUUCAAUGAAGCACAAAGUUUAAUACAACUUUACAUUUAGUAUUCUUUCUCUCAUCUUUAGUUGUGAAUUUACA